rnacentral:rRNA from 1 species
UACGUAGGGCGCAAGCGUUGUCCGGAAUUAUUGGGCGUAAAGAGCUCGUAGGCGGCUUGUCACGUCGGGUGUGAAAGCCCGGGGCUUAACCCCGGGUCUGCAUUCGAUACGGGCUAGCUAGAGUGUGGUAGGGGAGAUCGGAAUUCCUGGUGUAGCGGUGAAAUGCGCAGAUAUCAGGAGGAACACCGGUGGCGAAGGCGGAUCUCUGGGCCAUUACUGACGCUGAUGCGCGAAAGCUAGGGGAGCGAACGGG